rnacentral:rRNA from 1 species
UAUUGCGGCCAUAUCACCCUGCAACACAAUGGCAGCCCCCCUGAACCUCAGCAGGUGUGAGCCUGGUCAGUAGCUGGAUGGGAGACCUCCUGGGUAAAACUAAGGUUGCUGCUGGAA